CAGCCAAUCAGAAGGCUCCUAAGAAAAUUUUGGCGGGCGGGGGUCAGUUUUCUGUGGAAAGUGAUAGUGAGUGGACGUGUCGUCGCUGCCGGCUUCGAAAAUUCUACUGCGCAAUUAUUACCCGAUUGCCGGUAUAAUUUGAAAGGCGGGAAAAAUUUCAAUAUGGACGCCAUCAUACUUUUUCAAGAAAUUUGAUGUUUCAUUUGCGUAUUAUAAUUAUUGUGAUCGCGUGCAAUGCGAUCGGUAGAUUCAGUGUUUGCUUCGUAAGUUUUUUAAUAUUUUAGAGCACAAUAGCUCUAAUUAAAUUUAUUUAUCAAAAUCGGGAAAUUAGAGUCAGUGUUUGCUCGUCGAUUAAAUUAAACGGACGCGUUAAUAGUUUUUUAUUUUUAUUUUUUUUUAUUUUUAAUAUUCGUUUGCGGAACAGAGUAGAGUCAGUGCUUCUCGAAGGAAUAAGGCAGUCAUCCAUCACGCCAAGAGAUGCCUGACGUUUAUGAACAUUUCUACUGGACUUCAAUUUUAAAAAAUAUUUGUGACCGCGUGCAAUGCGGUCUGUAGAAUCAGUGUUUGCUUCGUAACAGUUUUUUUCAAAUAUUUUAGUGCACAAUAACUUUAAUUAAAUUGUCAUAAUUAUUCGCGAAAUUAGAGUCAGUGUUUGUUCGUCGCCUAUGUUUUAAAUCGACGGUAGUUUUCUACUUUUUUUUUUUUUUUUAAAUAUUCGUUUUCGGUACAGGAUAGAGUCAGUGUUUCUCGAAGGAAUAGGGUAAUCAUCCACCACGCGAAGAGUUUCUACUUCCUGAUGAUGACCACUUUGACGAUGACAUCUUGGGCCACGACAAUGCAGAUUCUUCGCAUCUAUUGGUGAGUCGCAUGCAUUUAUGUUCCUCCGAUCAUUCAAUCAUGUCGUAGGAUGAAAGAUCCGAAUCGACACGAAUGAUUGGUUGUAUACGUAGAUUUUUGUACGAGCACAGUGACCGCGGGUAUUUAUCAUAUCCGUGAAUAGUAACAUUUCUUUCAUUGUAUUUUAUUUAUUAGAUCAGGAUAGAUCUUCUUGCACGUCGCGUUUUUAAGAUAAUAUUUUAAUAUGAUCAGUAUAAAUGAUUAGUUUGAUUAUUUAUAGUUGAAAAUGUUUUAAUCAUUUGUAAAAUAAAGAUUAAGCAACUAUAUGAAUCGAACUAUAUGAAUUUAGUAGUAAAUAAAAAGGAAUAUUCGAAUAAAUGAGAAAUAUUGAAUUGAUUUUAAUUAAAUCUCCCGUAGUGAAGAAGAAUGUGACUUUGUUAUAUAAUGGAUAAAAAUAGUAUAUAGUAGUCGAUUAUACAAUAAAAUGCAUAUUAUUAUUACUGACAUAAUAAACAAUU